GGCUCGAUGGCGGAUGGUCCGCACCUGCAUCAUAUUGAAGAAUGCCUUCCAAGUAUGCAGGAGGUGCCCGUUCGAUUCGGGCUCGAGCCA